rnacentral:rRNA from 1 species
CAGUAGCCACGGUAAUACGAAGGGUGCAAGCGUUACUCGGAAUUACUGGGCGUAAAGCGUGCGUAGGUGGUGGUUUAAGUCCGUUGUGAAAGCCCUGGGCUCAACCUGGGAAUUGCAGUGGAUACUGGAUCACUAGAGUGUGGUAGAGGAUAGUGGAAUUUCCGGUGUAGCGGUGAAAUGCGUAGAGAUCGGAAGGAACAUCUGUAGCGAAGGCGACUAUCUGGGCCAACACUGACACUGAGGCACGAAAGCGUGGGGAGCAAACAGGAUUAGAUACCCCGGUAGUCCCUGUCUCUUAUAC